rnacentral:rRNA from 1 species
GCUUUUAUAAUGAAAUUAAUAUUUUUUUAAAAUAAUUUAUAAAAAUAAAGUAAUUUUACUUUAUUUUGUUGGGGCGACAUAGAUAUAAAUAUAUUAUUUAACUGUCAAUAUAUAAUACAUAAAUUUAUGGAUGUGGUAAAUGAUCCUUAUUUAAAGAUUAAAAGACUAAGUU